UCGAGAGGCUUCGGCAAUGGGGGAAACCCUGACCGAGCGACGCCGCGUGCGGGAUGAAGGCCCUCGGGUUGUAAACCGCUGUCAGGAGGGAAGAAUUCCCAUUGGUUAACAGCCUGUGGGUUGACGGUACCUCCAGAGGAAGCUCCGGCUAACUCCGUGCCAGCAGCCGCGGUAAUACGGAGGGAGCGAACGUUGUUCGGAUUCACUGGGCGUAAAGGGCGUGUAGGCGGUUUUGCAAGUCAAGCGUGAAAUACCACGGCUCAACCGUGGAACUGCGCUCGAAACUGCAGAACUUGAGGCUGUGAGAGGAGACUGGAAUUCCCGGUGUAGCGGUGAAAUGCAUAGAUAUCGGGAAGAACACCAGUGGCGAAGGCGAGUCUCUGGCACAGUUCUGACGCUAAUGCGCGAAAGCUAGGGGAGCGAACGGGAUUAGAUACCCCCGUAGUCC
rnacentral:rRNA from 1 species